rnacentral:sRNA from 1 species
AUGUCGCACAACCCGGGAGGGUGAGAACCCUCGACUGGGUUCGACAACGGGCGAAGCCCGUAGGACAGGCGACGAGCCCGCGAGGAGACUGCCCGAAGGGCGAGCGCAGCGAGUCAAUCCCUCCCUCACCGCCA